UACGUAGGGUGCGAGCGUUGUCCGGAUUUAUUGGGCGUAAAGGGCGCGUAGGCGGCCAGGCACGUCCGUUGUGAAAUCGCUCGGCUCAACUGGGCGGGGUCAGCGGAUACGGAGUGGCUGGAGCAAGCUAGGGGGCAAUGGAAUUCCCGGUGUAGUGGUGGAAUGCGUAGAUAUCGGGAGGAACACCAGUGGCGAAGGCGGUUGCCUGGAGCUUUGCUGACGCUGAUGCGCGAAAGCGUGGGGAGCGAUCCGG
rnacentral:rRNA from 1 species